rnacentral:rRNA from 1 species
UAGUAGUGGGGGAUAACUUGCCGAAAGGUAAGCUAAUACCGCAUACGCCCUACGGGGGAAAGCAGGGGACUCUUCGGAGCCUUGCGCUAUUAGAUGAGCCUAGGUCGGAUUAGCUAGUUGGUGAGGUAAUGGCUCACCAAGGCUGCGAUCCGUAACUGGUCUGAGAGGAUGAUCAGUCACACUGGAACUGAGACACGGUCCAGACUCCUACGGGAGGCAGCAGUGGGGAAUAUUGGACAAUGGGGGCAACCCUGAUCCAGCCAUGCCGCGUGUGUGAAGAAGGUCUUCGGAUUGUAAAGCACUUUAAUUUGGGAGGAAGGGYUUACACCUAAUACGUGUGARUUUUGACGUUACCAAAAGAAUAAGCACCGGCUAACUUCGUGCCAGCAGCCGCGGUAAUACGAAGGGUGCGAGCGUUAAUCGGAAUUACUGGGCGUAAAGCGCGCGUAGGUGGUUCGUUAAGUUAGGAGUGAAAGCCCCGGGCUCAACCUGGGAAUUGCUUCUAAAACUGGCGGGCUAGAGUACGGUAGAGGGUGGUGGAAUUUCCUGUGUAGCGGUGAAAUGCGUAGAUAUAGGAAGGAACAUCAGUGGCGAAGGCGACCACCU